UUAGUGGCGGACUGGUGAGUAACACGGGGGUAAACUGCCUUAAACACAUGGAUUCCGCGUGAAAACGCUUGGUAAUACCUCCUAUUGCCUAUCCAUUGCAUAAUGAAUACGUGAAAUGAGGAAUCCGGUUUAGGAUGGCUCCGCGUCCACUUACCUUGUUGGUGAGGUAGUACCACCCCCUUGCGACUACUGGUACCCCACCUGAGAGGUUGAACGGCCACCUUGAGACUGAGAUACAGCCCACACUCCUACAGGAAGAAACUGUGGGGAAUCUUGCGCAAUGGGGGGAACCCUGACGCACCGACGCCGCGUGAAGGAAGAAGGACUUCCGAUUGUAGACUUCUUUGAUUCUUGAAGAUGAAAGACGGUGCCUAGAAAACCAGCCACGGCUAACUACAUGCCCUUCUCCGCGGUAAUACCUAAGAGGCAACCGUUGUCCGGAAUUACUGGGUGUCCACGGCGAGUAGGUGGAUCACUACGUCGUACGUGAUCACUCAUGGCUAAACUGUGGCAUGCCAACUGACACUAGACAUCUUGAGUACUGCAGAGGGAACCGGAAAUCCUAGUGUAGAACUGGAAAUGUGUAGAUAUUAAGAGGAACACCAAUGGCUAGGCGGCUUCCUGGACAGAGUACUGACACUGAGGCACGAAAGCGUGCGAGAGCGAACUCGCAUUAGAUACACCUGGAUAGUCCACGCUGUAAACGAUGGAUACUAGGUGUAGGUGGUAACCAAACCAUCUGUGCCGGAGUAAACACAAUAAGUAUCUCCACCUGGGGAGUACAGCCGCAAGGUUGAAACUCAAAGGAAUUGACGGGGGGCCCGCACAAGCAGUGGAGUAUGUGGUUUAUUUGGAAGCAACGCGAAGACCCUUUCCAGGGCUUGACAUCCCUUGAAGCAUCCAGAGAUACGUAGGGCGUUCGCGUCAAGGAGACGGGUGGUGCAUGGUUGUCAUCAGCUCGUCAGUGAGAUGUUGGGUUAAGUCCCGCAACGAGCGCAACCCUUAUACCUAGUUGCCAGCAAUAAGAUGGGGACUCUAGCGAGACAGCCGUUGAGAAAACGGAGGAAGGAAAGGAUGACGUCAAAUCAUCAUGCCCCUUCUGCUCUGGGAUACACAGGUACUCCAAUGGGUUCUACAGAGGGAAGCGAAGCCAGGAGGGGGAGCGAAUCUCAAAAAGGUAGUCCCAGUUCAGAUCAUAGGGGGAAAGUGUCUUGCAUGAAGUUGGAAGAGGUAGUAAUUGCAGGUCAGAAUAUUUCAGUGAAUACGUUCCCGGGCGUUCUACACCCCGCCCGUCACACCAUGAGAGUCUGCAACACCCGAAGUCAGUA
rnacentral:rRNA from 1 species